UCCUGGAAUUCAGGAACAAUGUUACAGAGGUCCCAUUCCAGGAGGCUUUUCAUAUAGAAGAUGAGUGGACACCAACUAGAGACACUGGAGCAAGGGCCCCACAGUGUGACAUUUGGUUGUCUCUUGAUGGGGGAGGGAAAGUGUGCUUUUGUGUACAAGUAUGAGAUAGGUGGAUUCUAUCAUGUGGAGGAUAUUGCUUCUCAGCCUUUUGGCUAAGAUCAAGUGUAGUAUCAUGAGGAGUUUUCUUCGAAAUUGUGGAUUUCCACUUAUGUAACUAGUGGUGCUAUUAUGUGCCCAGCACGAAGCAGCAACUGUUGUUCUUUAGCAACUCUUGGAAAGCCUAAGGGAUGAAGCAGAGCUCUAGCUCAACUGGGGAACUUUCAUAACUCCCAGGGAUGGAAACAGACUUGGAAGAAUACUCUAAUCCAGAGCAGAGGUAUAGAGGCAACCUCUGGAUGCUGUGCUGUGAACAGUUGACUCAGAUCCUAUGAUGAUUCCUGUCUACGUCCAUCAUGAAUGUUGCCCCAUCUUAUCAAACUGAGUUGAAUGGACAUUGCUGGCAGUAGCAACAACAAUAGGAAUAUUGUCAUACCUUUGCUUGCCAUGUUAAUCAACCAAGUUAAUGUGAUUUAUCUCUAACGUCCCAGGUUAAAUACCACUAUUUCCUGUAGUGUUUCCUGUCUUUCCGAGACAAAAUUGACACUCUUGAGUUUCCCAAAACACUUGUCACACACUCCCAUGUUUUGAUUUAAUAGGUCUAUAUUCUCUCCUAAACUGAGCUUUUUGAGAGCAACAACUAAGAUUUAUCUCUGAUUUUGCAGUACUUGCUGGCAAUUUAGGAACUAAAUUGUUGAAAUAUAUGUCUAAUACCAAGGAUGAUGCUAACAUAAGUGACAUC
rnacentral:lncRNA from 1 species